GGGAAAUAGUGCUCACCACUUUACAUGUUUUAUCCAGGCCAGGGGGAGGAGAGCGUCUGAGGGCCCCGCCUGGCAGCAGCCUGCCCAGGCUGGAGCUGAUGGGCCCCGCCAGGAGGAACAGCGGAGCCAAGGUCGAAUGGUGUAGGAGGAGUGAAGGCGGAAAUCUGCUGAGUCUAAGGCGCCCACCGCAGUCCGGCAGUCCUCAGACCGCCCGGACCAGUUCCCCCAUCCAGACGACCAUGGAACAGACGCCCUGGCCGCCCCAAACACAGGGCCAGCCACUGCUGAUCCAUCCACCUCCGCGGGGACCAGCGCUCAGGGUGUCCCCUCCUCCACACCGGGGCUCUCAUGGUAUAAUCAGGCAAAGUCUGCGGAACAUAAAGACUCCCGCGCCAAAACCAGAAGCAUCCUAUUCAGAGUAGCGCACCUCUCUUUCUAGUGGCUCCUGGUGAGAGGAGACGAACACACUGUUAGAUCUCAUGAACAGAGUUGAAGGUCUGAAUAGCCACAGGUCAAUUCAUAGAUUAGACUGCAUUAAAUCAAGCACUUCGUAAGAGCGUGAAGAGGAGUUCAUGUGAGGUUCCCCCCAGAGGGGUGGCUGACUGGGCCUAUCCCUUUACUGUCCCAAAUCGUUACCAUUAAACCUAACACAUCGACAGAGAUGUACUGUUUGGAAAAAAUAUGCCUCUUACCUGCAUGUGAAAGCGUCUAUCUAUAAUGUAACACUUGACCAGAGCUGCUUUUAUUGCUAGGAAUUAUAGAGAAGAACCGAUGUUUGUGAUUUUAUUGCCUUAAUGUAUUUCCUGCAUUUUCUUGAUCUAUUGUGUAUAAUAUUGUCAUUCUGGCCUUUCCUUUUCGUACAUUUUAUAUGAUAGUAAACCUGAUAAAGUAUUUUAUAUGUCCCUCUCUUCAA